ACAGGUGACCAUGGCGGCGGGGUCCCACCUCUUCCCAUCCCGAACAGAGAAGUUAAGCCCGCCCGCGCCAAUGGUACUGCAGGGGUAACCCUGUGGGAGAGUAGGUCGUCGCCUGUU
rnacentral:rRNA from 1 species